rnacentral:rRNA from 1 species
UAAUACGGAGGAUCCAAGCGUUAUCCGGAUUUAUUGGGUUUAAAGGGUCCGCAGGCGGAAUAUUAAGUCAGUGGUGAAAUCCUACAGCUUAACUGUAGAACUGCCAUAGAUACUGGUAUUCUUGAGUGCACCUGAAGUGGGCGGAAUGUGUCAUGUAGCGGUGAAAUGCUUAGAUAUGACACAGAACACCAAUUGCGAAGGCAGCUCACUAAAGUGUAACUGACGCUGAGGGACGAAAGCGUGGGUAGCGAACAGGAUUAGAUACCCUGGUAGUCCACGCCGUAAACGGUGAUCACUAGAUGUUGGCGAUAUAUUGUCAGUAUCUGAGCGAAAGCAUUAAGUGAUCCACCUGGGGAGUACGGUCGCAAGAUUG